rnacentral:rRNA from 1 species
GUGGCGCACGGGUGCGUAACGCGUGGGAACCUGCCCUUAGGUUCGGAAUAACAGUGAGAAAUCGCUGCUAAUACCGGAUAAUGUCUUCGGACCAAAGAUUUAUCGCCAAAGGAUGGGCCCGCGUAGGAUUAGCUAGUUGGUAAGGUAAAAGCUUACCAAGGCGACGAUCCUUAGCUGGUCUUAGAGGAUGACCAGCCACACUGGGACUGAGACACGGCCCAGACUCCUACGGGAGGCAGCAGUGGGGAAUAUUGGACAAUGGGCGAAAGCCUGAUCCAGCAAUGCCGCGUGAGUGAUGAAGGCCUUAGGGUUGUAAAGCUCUUUUACCAGGGAUGAUAAUGACAGUACCUGGAGAAUAAGCUCCGGCUAACUCCGUGCCAGCAGCCGCGGUAAUACGGAGGGAGCUAGCGUUGUUCGGAAAUACUGGGCGUAAAGAGAACGUAGGCGGUCUAUUAAGUCAGGGGUGAAAUCCCGGAGCUCAACUCCGGAACUGCCCUUGAAACUGCUAGACUAGAAUCCUGGAGAGGUGAGUGGAAUUCCGAGUGUAGAGGUGAAAU